rnacentral:lncRNA from 1 species
AAUAAAUUCAAAAGAAUUAAAUUCUUUAGAUGUUAUGUGCCAGCCCAUAUUAAAUAUAUCUUUGUCUUUAAGAUGAUUAUAAUAACUAGCUUAACCAAAUUAUUAUACCAUAUCUAUGAAGGAUCUCUCUCGUGUAUGUCAAAUGCAUGAAAAUAUUUACGAUUUUUUUCCCAUCAUUUUUAACAGUUUGUAAAUUUGACUAACAUGCGAUGCAAUAUAAAAAUGGAUCAAAACUUAUUGAUUAUUUUAAUAGUUCUAUCGAUUUUUAUGACAUAACUGGUUUCAUCGCUGUGGAACAAUCGUUGAUGAAUAUCCAUCAACGGUUGUCCAGAUCUAACAUGAGAUCGACCUAUGAUGUGAAGGAUGGGAUCAAUAGGCUGAACUUCCGUGAAAAAUCGAGAAUGGGAUUCAAUAGGAUCCACUGUUAAGACUGCAACAUUCUUUUAAUUUAUAUUGCUACAGGAAAAUUAAUUUUCUUCACCAUUCACGAAAAAAUUGAAAAUUCUUUUUAUCUUUCACAUUUUCAUCAUCCUUUCGGAUGAUCUGCAUGGAUGCCUAAAGACUUAUCAAACUGUAUUUAAGCAUCAAGAAUAUAAUAUGGAAAUCUUUCAUUAUGCAUCUAGGUGCCUUUUUUUCAGGAAAUGCCACGAACAUCUAAACAAAUUGGCGAGCAGAUAUGGUUUGGAGGUUCCUGACAGUUAUGGCCACAUAUCGGUUUGCUAUAUUAUUGUCGUUCUGGCUCCCUCUGUGAUUUGUCUUCGGCAAUAUCCCUUUCCUACUAGAACUGUCUCUAGAGUCUGUGAACGACAUUUCUAGCCACACCUUCCCAUCUGGCUACCUCAGAAAGAGGUUCUUAUGCUUCCCACUUUAUUUCAAUAUCUGACCGAUAUAUCCGUGACAUUUCAAACGAAUGGAAAUCUGCAAAUCAAUUUCCAUCUAAUAAAUGCAGAAGUAGAAGCGCCAAAAUUUAGGCUAGGUUUACAUGAAUAGGCUAUUUAGAUUCUGCAAAUAUUUUAUGCAAUAUCUUUUAGAUCUGAUAUAUUUUUACAGCAUAACUAUCUGGCAUGACUUCAGCAUUUUAUCUGAAGUUUUUUUGUAAAGUUAUUUGUCGAUUUUAGUUUGAAGUUUCGAAUACCAG